rnacentral:lncRNA from 1 species
CGGGAACACCGGGCCCCGAGCUCGGUCCCGCGCCCGAGGAUCCUCCACGGGGCUAGAUGGCUGCGUCGGGGGCGGGAGCGGAGGUGAGCGGGCGCUAGGGCCGCGAGCCCCCGCCGGCCCUUCCUCCAGCGCCCUGCGGACCCCGCAGAAGGCGCUCGCCUCCCUAGCCCGCAAAAACAUAUCGAUUUUUCUCGCUGUGGCAACGGGGACGUCCUGAUAGAUCCUCUGCUCCAAUAGGCAACUCCGGCCUUCCCUGCCCUGACCUGGAACCUCUGGGAGGGCUGCAGAGUAAGUGCCGCCUCUGCGCUCCGACGGAGGCACGAGGCCUGUGGAGUAGGUCCCUCUGUUCCGACAGGUGCGACACUUGGCGCUCCAUGCUUGCGGGUGCCGGGAGGCCUGGCCUCCCCCAGGGCCGCCACCUCUGCUGGUUGCUCUGUGCUUUCACCUUAAAGCUCUGUAUCUUCCCCAUAUACCAAGAGCACAGGUGGAAAAGGCCGGCACCACAUGGAAUGAGGGCAAGCGCUGUGCCGGGAAGUUGGAUGGGCAGAGCCUGGGAGAAAUGUUUUCUGAAUGGCCUGGGGCUGGCAUUUAUCUUUCCUUUCAGCAAGCACCUCAAAUUUGCCAUGCUGGCUGGUGGAAGAGUUUGUGGUAGCAGAAGAGUGCUCUCCAUGCUCUAAUUUCCGGGCUAAAACUACCCCUGAGUGUGGUCCCACAGGAUAUGUAGAGAAAAUCACAUGCAGCUCAUCUAAGAGAA